CCUGAAGUUGGCGGCCGCUGAUGAAGCCAUAGGCAGGACUCGAAGGCCUGCAGCGAGGCCUGACCAUCAGCCUCCCUGGCAGGACCCCUUGAGGGACAAGGACGCCUCUAGCAGGAAGGAUCUGGGAAGGUGGCCCAACAGGCCAGGAGCUGAGCACACAGCAGGGCGGAUGAGAGUGAGGCGCUCCGGCCAGAUCGGGUCUCAGUCCAGCUUUAACACUUCCCAGCUCUGACACUGGGGACAUGGAUUUGCUGUUCCAAGCCUCAGUGUCCUUGUCUGUAAGAGUGUAAUCGUGCCUACUUUUUAGGCUGUUGAGAGAGCCAGAUGGGAUAAUAAUAUGACUAUCAGCUGUGAACAUGGUACCUGGCUUCUAGUUAAACAUCAGCUAUUGUCAUUGCAGGAUGUACGCUGAUUACUACUGAGCACCGACUGUAUGCCGGGUGCCUUCGUGGCACUUCUCGGUUGCACGCUGGUUAGUAUUGAGCACCGACUGCAUGCCGGGUGCCCUCACGGCACUUCUCGGUUGCACGCUGGUUAGUAUUGGGCGCCGACUGCAUGCCGGGUGCCCUCACGGCACUUCUCGGUUGCACGCUGUGAGCCAGAGGCCAAACACAGCACACGUUGUCUCUGAAAAGAAGAGGAUGGACCAGCCUAAGAAGGAUGAGGGCAGAUACCUGCGGUUUCUGGGCUAAGACGAACCUACAGGUAGCUGCAAAUCUGAGAUGUGCCCAGGUGUUCCAUGCUGACGGCCUCCUUGUCUCCUGCAGAAUCCAGGUAUUAAAAAUGCCAGGAGCCGAGAAGCCCCCUGCCCCGCUCCCAACAUUCCUUCAGGACAGUUUUGCUGACACAGCAUUCCUCUGGGCCAGGGUGAAGGCCCAAAGUCCCAACCAAUGAUGAUUUCCUGUUAACCCUUGGACUAAGGGUUGAGCCCUGGAAUAUCCCCCAGGGAUUCCGGAGGCCUUCUUCUUGCGUUUGUUUACAAUGCAUGGCCCUCUUCCUUGCCAAGAGGAAGCCCAGUUUUAUUUACAUUUCAGUGUCCCAGAGGGUGGAGGGGACCACCGGGCACCUUUGUCCCCAGGCUGAUUCUGGGCUGCUGCUUGCAAAUGAGGAAGCUCUAAACUGCCCAGAAGUCAGACACUAGUAGAAUUUUGAAGCUGGAAGGGGUGCCAUUUCACAGAUGGGGAAUGAGAGGUCUGGAGAUGCCUAGAUUGGACCAGGGCCUGAGCCAGAUCAUCCGGGAGGAUCCAGGGAUCCUGGCCUUGUCCUGCCAUGGACGGUCCCGUCCCCAUCAGCAGACUGGCGACGUGGACCAGACGUUUGCCUCGCACGGCUACUCGCCCUGGUGGUCAAGAGUAGGGCCUGGAGCCCGACGUCCUGGGUCUGAAUUCUGCUUAGCCCCUUUGGACGAAAACUUAACACUCAAUGCCACUUCUUUCCUGUAUGUGAAAUGGGGCUGAUCACCACAGUUAACCCUAAGCGCCUCGCACCGCAAGUCCCUCUGCUUGUUAAAUAAAUACAAUGGAUCUCUACACAUGCACAAUAAAGACACGGAAACAGUUAAUC
rnacentral:lncRNA from 10 species